AUUGAACGCUGGCGGCAUGCUUUACACAUGCAAGUCGAACGGUAACAGGUUAAGCUGACGAGUGGCGAACGGGUGAGUAAUGCAUCGGAACGUGCCCGGUCGUGGGGGAUAACGCAGCGAAAGCUGCGCUAAUACCGCAUACGAUCUGAGGGUGAAAGCGGGGGACCGUAAGGCCUCGCGCGAUCGGAGCGGCCGAUGUCAGAUGAGGUAGUUGGGGGGGUAAAGGCUCACCAAGCCAACGAUCUGUAGCUGGUCUGAGAGGACGACCAGCCGCACUUGGACUGGGGCACGGCCCAGACUCCUACGGUAGGCAGCAGUGGGGAAUUUUUGACAAUGUGCGAAAGCCUGAUCCAGCAAUGCCGCGUGCAGGAAGGAGGCCUUCGGGUUGUAAACUGCUUUUGUACGGAGCGAAAAGGUCUCCUCUAAUACAGGGGGCUCAUGACGGUACCGUAAGAAUAAGCACCGGCUAACUACGUGCCAGCCGCCGCCGUAA
rnacentral:rRNA from 1 species